CCACUAUCCAGCACACAUCUAGUGUAUUAAGUUCAUGGAGAAACAGAGUAAUGCUUUAAGAACGAUGACAUGAUGUAGACAAGAUAUAUUCAUGUAGGAAUAGACCCCAUCGUUUUAUCCUUAAUAACAACGAUAUAUGCGUGUCAUGUCUCCUCCUGUCACUGAGAUUGAGCACCGCAAGAUCGAACCCAUAACAGAUCACAUCUUCCCAUUGCAAGAUAAAAAUAACAAAAC
rnacentral:lncRNA from 1 species